rnacentral:rRNA from 1 species
AUUGAACGCUGGCGGCAGGCCUAACACAUGCAAGUCGAGCGGAUGAAGGGAGCUUGCUCCUGGAUUCAGCGGCGGACGGGUGAGUAAUGCCUAGGAAUCUGCCUGGUAGUGGGGGAUAACGUCCGGAAACGGGCGCUAAUACCGCAUACGUCCUGAGGGAGAAAGGGGGGGAUCUUCGGACCUCACGCUGUCAGAUGAGCCUAGGUCGGAUUAGCUAGUUGGUGGGGUAAAGGCCUACCAAGGCGACGAUCCGUAACUGGUCUGAGAGGAUGAUCAGUCACACUGGAACUGAGACACGGUCCAGACUCCUACGGGAGGCAGCAGUGGGGAAUAUUGGACAAUGGGCGAAAGCCUGAUCCAGCCAUGCCGCGUGUGUGAAGAAGGUCUUCGGAUUGUAAAGCACUUUAAGUUGGGAGGAAGGGCAGUAAGUUAAUACCUUGCUGUUUUGACGUUACCAACAGAAUAAGCACCGGCUAACUUCGUG